rnacentral:rRNA from 1 species
GGAUUAGUGGCGAACGGGUGAGAAAACGUGGGCAAUCUGCCCUGCACUCUGGGACAAGCCCUGGAAACGGGGUCUAAUACCGGAUACGACACAGGAAGGCAUCUUCUCUGUGUGGAAAGCUCCGGCGGUGCAGGAUGAGCCCGCGGCCUAUCAGCUUGUUGGUGGGGUGAUGGCCUACCAAGGCGACGACGGGUAGCCGGCCUGAGAGGGCGACCGGCCACACUGGGACUGAGACACGGCCCAGACUCCUACGGGAGGCAGCAGUGGGGAAUAUUGCACAAUGGGCGAAAGCCUGAUGCAGCGACGCCGCGUGAGGGAUGACGGCCUUCGGGUUGUAAACCUCUUUCAGCAGGGAAGAAGCGAAAGUGACGGUACCUGCAGAAGAAGCACCGGCUAACUACGUGCCAGCAGCCGCGGUAAUACGUAGGGUGCGAGCGUUGUCCGGAAUUAUUGGGCGUAAAGAGCUCGUAGGCGGCUUGUCACGUCGGAUGUGAAAGCCCGGGGCUUAACCCCGGGUCUGCAUUCGAUACGGGCAGGCUAGAGUUCGGUAGGGGAGAUCGGAAUUCCUGGUGUAGCGGUGAAAUGCGCAGAUAUCAGGAGGAACACCGGUGGCGAAGGCGGAUCUCUGGGCCGAUACUGACGCUGAGGAGCGAAAGCGUGGGGAGCGAACAGGAUUAGAUACCCUGGUAGUCCACGCCGUAAACGUUGGGAACUAGGUGUGGGCGACAUUCCACGUCGUCCGUGCCGCAGCUAACGCAUUAAAGUUCCCCGCCUGGGGAGUACGGCCGCAAGGCUAAAACUCAAAGGAAUUGACGGGGGGCCCGCACAAGCGGGC